rnacentral:lncRNA from 1 species
GAUUGUGUGGCUUGGUUGUGUGGUUUGUGAUUGGUCUAAAAUCCUGAGACCGUGAGAUUUAUAAUCUGAAAACCUCUCUAUUAAAGUGAUGCCUUGAAUAAAGAAGGCUUGAUGUAAUAUUAUUAAUGAAUUGAAAAGUGGUGAUAAUAAAUGAUAAAUUAAUAAUAUUAUUGGAUCGGAGUGUCACGUUCCGACACGGUAUUUUUGGAUCGGAGUGUCACGUUCCGACACAGUAUUUUUGGAUCGGAG